rnacentral:lncRNA from 1 species
CAGAGUGAGACUCUGUCUCAAAAUAAAUAAAUAAGAUAAAAAAUAAAAGUGCAUGUUAGUAGUAGUAGUAAUCAUAAUUAGUAUGACAAAGAGUUUUGUGUACCAGGACUGAUAAGGACAGGUAACUAAAUCCAACUGAGAGACAGAACUCUCUAGUGCAGAAUGACUUAAGGCAGUUAAAUCAAAACAUUCUGUAUAUUCUAUAUAGAGAGGUAAUUGGUUGGGUUUCUAUGCUUGGCCCAGCAUUAGGCAAAUAGGUUCAUAACAUACCUAGCAUAUUGCUUUGAAUUUUCACAAAUUUGCUAGCUAUUUUCUAAAAGGAAACAAAUACCCAGAAGAGUAUAGGACUGAACUGAGUAUCAAGAUGACAACACAACUGCCCGGGCAGGGAACAGCCGCACACAGUUAGGACCCUCGGAGGGUGGGUCUCACCAGCUCUCACUGACGUGGGUAGACCAGUAAUACACUCUGACAGUGGGCAAGUCAGUUUUCAUUCUGGUGUUUCACAUUCAAAAGCUACCCUUCUGUUUUUCUCCUUUACUCCCUCCACCCAGUCGAUUUCUAGAUGUCUUGUAUUUGCCUCUUCAUUUGCUUCAUUUUGUCUCUUCAUUUGCUUCAUCUCCUAUGAUGGGGACAGUCCCUUAACUUCACACCUACACUCCAGAAAUGAACUGCAGGGCAAGGGAGAUGAACGGGGGUCUUUCUGUGACAGGCAGGGCUGGAAGGGAGAAGCAAAGCCAAAGACAAAAAAAGCCUCCACCAACAGGUUCUUGAAAAUGAAAGUGAGUUCCGGAGCUUCACUAAUUCUCCCACUGAGUGGCAGCCUCCGCAUUCUGGGAGGGAAAAACGUUUCCUUCGGCCCCCUCCCUCCAAACUCUUAAUAAAUUCAACUUCCUUUCACAAAAAAAAAAAAACCCACUAACUCUCUGGGCAAAGAGAGAAGGAUUCACUUACAUCAACCUCACUUCCUCUCCUCUCCUCUCCUCCCCGCUUCCCCGUUCCCACCUUUCAUCAGAAAGAAUAUAACUAUCUUUCUGAGGACUGGGGGGCCUGUAAACUUCGUUUUUAGGCUAAGACACAAAACGAAUAUAAGCUCCAAGGAAUAAGCCACAUCUUCUCAUCUCUUUAAAACUUAGGCUAAUUAUUUUUACAACAAUGCUACUUAGGAACCAGAGAAGGAUAAGUUGUCAGGAUUCUGGAUUCCAGUUGGUUUGGGGGACAAGAAGGGGGUGAGGUGGGUGCUGAGAACAUGACUUCAUACAUAAUGAACAUGAGAAGAAUAAGUUUCCCUAUAAACAACAUCAGAGGAGGUACUGAAGAUAAUAAUAAACUGUGAGCUUCAUUAAAACUUAGGAUGUGCAAAUUUAACGUGAGCAAAAUUAUGUGUUUCUUAUAAGGGAUAGGAAAAAGCCCCCAAAGAGAUAGAAAGAAUGCAGAAAUGAAAAGGAUAAUUGGGGAAAAGGCAAUCUAAAUACCAAGACCCUGGGAAAAGCGAGAAAGCCAUGCCCAUUCCAGGCCCUUGGACGAAGCAAAAAAGCCAGCAUCUUUUGUGAGUACCUAGUUUCAAAGGGAAGUUUACAUUGAACUAUGUAUCUGAUGUGUAAACAUCUCAUUAGUGAGGGGUACAUCACCACCAGCCAUGGGUGGUGAGAAUUCUUCAGGGUACCCCCAUCCUGCAACUGCCCCAGUUCAAAUCAGAUACCCCAGAGCUGCAACCAAGCUCAAGUUCCCAGCGCAGAACUAGAUGGAAGUGGGAAAUAGUCCUUGAAACUGGUGAAACAGCCCUUUCCAGGAAUAACGAACCCCGCAGCUUUACCAAAUAAGGCAAGUGAAAGCUAAAAGCCAAGGAGGAACAGGCUCAAGCUGUAUCUUUCCUAAAACUAGCCAGCUGGAUGAUAGAAAUGUGAGUAUCUCAAUUCCACUAGCCUGGAUUGCACAGGGGAAGAGAAAAUGCUGAGAAACUACAAACGGAAAAACAUUUUGCCAAGGAGAGGCCUGUAACGCACUCAUCCCAGCCCCUGCAACAACCUUCAGGAAGUUUCAAACCCACGAAGCUGCUAAACAUUCCCUGUGAAACACAUAACACAAACUGGAACGGGUGUCCAUGCUAUGAUUAGUGAGAAAAAAAAAAGUUAGUGAAAAAACGCUAACUUUUUUUUCCCAAGUCUACAUUUGUAGAGUUUUAGAGCAUGAAGUUCAGAUAUAACAUGGAUAUUAUCAUAAAGUGACACAAUGAAUUUCCAUUUUUGAAACUGAAAAUAUUUAUGAGACCACUUCCAUUUAAACGUUUAUUUAGCUGUAUUUUUUUGCUUCCAAAGAAGGUCCAAAUCCAAUUUCCUGUUGUAGCAGAUCUCCCUUAUAGGAGAAAUGGCUUGAUUUUUUAGAAAUCUUCUUCUUCUCCUAUAUGCCAAGAGUUUGUACAUGCUGAGAAAAUUUUAAAUAAAUAUUGGAGAGGAAGAUUGCUAAAGUAAAGGCUGGUGGGUGAAAAGAAAGAAAGAAGGAAAAUCUGCCUAGGGUUCUGAUUUAGAUUUCACCACUGUCUUCUUCAGGUCUCAGACAACGUGCCACCAGCCCAAAGAGCACAGACAUACUAAAGCAGAGGCAGCAGCUUCCCUGAAGCACGCACAGAGCUGGAAGAAGGAGAACACAUUCCAUACAUUUUUCUAGAAAGUCUAGUAUUGCUUUCACUUCCCUUGAGUCAUUUAGGUUUCUGAAAGCUAAUCAUCUCCCAGAAAAAAUCUAACAGAUGUGUGGAGCUGAUAACACAAAUCUCAGCAGAAUAGAGAAGCACACAAGACUAUGUCCAUCUUCACACCCACACCGGAGAACAGGCUGAGUGCAUACACAUGGACGCGUGGGGAGAAGAGGAGGUGACCAUCCGUCCCUUCACAGCAUGCUAACAAUUUUGUCAACUGGCUCCUCAACAUACUCAGGCUGGGGUGGCGGGGGUGGGGGAGGACAUUUUCCUACAGACACAGUAGGAACAUGGCCUCUAGGCAUUAAAUUAACCAGCGGUUUCUUUGGCAUGUUCGAACAAGUCUAGAACCCAAAGCGCAUAUGCUAAGGGGAGAGGAAAAUUGCCUACUUGAUAAAAAUAAGCGGUAUCUAACCUCUGAGCUCAGAGCUUGAUUUCUGAUGCCAGUUUGAUAAGACUGGCAAAUGCACUUCUUGGUAACAACACUGAGGCCAGUACGGGAGCACCGAGUAUUCAAGUCUCACACAUAGCAUGACUUAAGAAAUGACAGCAGCAUUAGGAAAUGUGCUAAAAUUUUUAAAGGCGUAACAACCCUGUCUUCUGGUUACCCUAACCUGUGAUCUGUUUAUUUCCAUUUUCCUUUUUAAAAAAAAAAAAUCCUAAAAAAAAAUAAAACUCACAAAAUC